GACGAACGCUGGCGGCGUGCUUAACACAUGCAAGUCGAACGGAAAGGCCCUGCUUUUGUGGGGUGCUCGAGUGGCGAACGGGUGAGUAACACGUGAGUAACCUGCCCUUGACUUUGGGAUAACUUCAGGAAACUGGGGCUAAUACCGGCUAGGAGCUCCUGCUGCAUGGUGGGGGUUGGAAAGUUUCGGCGGUUGGGGAUGGACUCGCGGCUUAUCAGCUUGUUGGUGGGGUAGUGGCUUACCAAGGCUUUGACGGGUAGUCGGCCUGAGAGGUUGACCGGCCACAUUGGGACUGAGGUACGGCGCAGACUGCAACGGGAGGCAGCAGUGGGGAAUAUUGCACAAUGGGCGGAAGCCUGAGGCAGCAACGCCGCGUGCGGGAUGACGGCCUUCGGGUUGUAAACCGCUUUCGCCUGUGACGAAGCGUGAGUGACGGUAAUGGGUAAAGAAGCACCGGCUAACUACGUG
rnacentral:rRNA from 1 species